CGGAUCGUAAAGCUCUGUUGUUAGGGAAGAACAAGUGCGAGAGUAACUGCUCGCACCAUGACGGUACCUAACCAGAAAGCCACGGCUAACUACGUGCCAGCAGCCGCGGUAAUACGUAGGUGGCAAGCGUUGUCCGGAAUUAUUGGGCGUAAAGGGCUCGCAGGCGGUUUCUUAAGUCUGAUGUGAAAGCCCCCGGCUCAACCGGGGAGGGUCAUUGGAAACUGGGAAACUUGAGUGC
rnacentral:rRNA from 1 species